AACGAACGCUGGCGGCAUGCCUAACACAUGCAAGUCGAACGAGACCUUCGGGUCUAGUGGCGCACGGGUGCGUAACGCGUGGGAACCUGCCCUUAGGUUCGGAAUAACUCCCCGAAAGGGGUGCUAAUACCGGAUAAUGUCUUCGGACCAAAGAUUUAUCGCCUUUGGAUGGGCCCGCGUUGGAUUAGCUAGUUGGUAGGGUAAAAGCCUACCAAGGCGACGAUCCAUAGCUGGUCUGAGAGGAUGAUCAGCCACACUGGGACUGAGACACGGCCCAGACUCGUAGGGGAGAGAGGAGUGGGGAAGAGAGGAGAAUGGGCGAACGCCUAAUCCAGCAAGGCCGCGUGUGUGAUGCCGGCUGUAGGGUUGAAAAGCUAUUUUGCCGGGGAUGAUAAUGACAGUACGGAAAGAAGAAGCUCCGGCUAACCCCGGGCCAGCAGGCGGGGUAAUAACAAAACAGCACACUUCAACGC
rnacentral:rRNA from 1 species